rnacentral:rRNA from 1 species
GACGAACGCUGGCGGCAUGCCUAACACAUGCAAGUCGAACGGAGAUUACUUCGGUAAUCUUAGUGGCGAACGGGUGAGUAACGCGUGGGCAACCUGCCCUCUAGAUGGGGACAACAUCCCGAAAGGGGUGCUAAUACCGAAUGUGACAGCAAUCUCGCAUGAGGAUGCUGUGAAAGAUGGCCUCUAUUUAUAAGCUAUCGCUAGAGGAUGGGCCUGCGUCUGAUUUGCUAGUUGGUGGGGUAACGGCCUACCAAGGCGAUGAUCAGUAGCCGGUCUGAGAGGAUGAACGGCCACAUUGGGACUGAGACACGGCCCAGGCUCCUACGGGAGGCAGCAGUGGGGAAUCUUCCGCAAUGGGCGAAAGCCUGACGGAGCAAUGCCGCGUGAGUGAUGAAGGAAUUCGUUCCGUAAAGCUCUUUUGUUUAUGACGAAUGUGCAGAUUGUGAACAAUGAUUUGUAAUGACGGUAGUAAACGAAUAAGCCACGGCUAACUACGUGCCAGCAGCCGCCGUAA